CGGGAGCAUCGGCACUGGGAGCUGCUGGGCACCGGGAGCACCGGAAGCAUCGGUACCGGGCACUGGGAGAACUGGGGACCGGGAGCACUGGGAGCACUGGGGACCGGGAGCUCUGGGCACUGGGAGCACUGGGCACCGGGCACUGGGAGAACUGGGGACCGGGAGCACCGGAACCGAGAGCAUCAGGCACCGGGAGCACCGGCACCGGGAGAACUGGGCACCGGGCACUGGGAGAAUUGGGCACUGGGCACUGGGAGAACUGGGUACCGGGAGCUCUGGGCACUGGGAGCACUGGGCACCGGGCACUGGGAGCUCUGGGUACUGGGAGCAUCAGGCAUCGGGAGCACUGGCACCGGGCACUGGGAGCACUGGGAGGACUGGGAUUACUGGGCACCGGGAGCAUCAGUACUGGGCACUGGGAGCACUGGGGGCACCGCGAGCACCGGCACCAGGCACUGGGAGAACUGGGAUUACUGGGUACUGGGAGCUCUGGGCACUGGGAGCAUUGGUACCGGGCACUGGGAGGACUGGGAUUACUGGGUACUGGGAGCACUGGGCACCGGGAGCAUCAGUACUGGGCACUGGGAGCACUGGGAGUACUAGGCACCGGGAGCAUCGGCACUGGGAGCACUGGGCACCGGGUACUGGGAGAACUGGGCACCAGGCACUGGGAGAACUGGGCACCAGGAGCACCAGCACCGAGAGCACUGGGAGAAGGGCACUGGGAGCACUGGGCACUGGGAGAACUGGGAGCGCUGGGCACCGGGUACUGGGAGAACUGGGCACCAGGAGGACCAGCACCGAGAGCAUCGGGCACCGGGAGCACCGGCACCGGGCACUGGGAGAACUGGGAUUACUGGGUACUGGGAGCUCUGGGCACUGGGAGCAUCAGUACUGAGCACUGGGGGCACCGGGAGCAUCGGCACUGGGAGCACUGGGCACUGGGAGAACUGGGCACCAGGAGCACCAGCACCGAGAGCAUCAGGCACCAGGAGCACUGGCACCGGGCACUGGGGGCACUGGGAGCACUGGGAGCACUGGGGGCACUGGGCACCGGGAGCAUCAACCCCCCAGAGGGGGCAUCCGGGCACCGGGAAUCACGGGGGGGGCACCAGCCCCGGGCACUGGGAGCACUGGGGGGCGGGGGGAGCCGGCACUGGCCCC
rnacentral:lncRNA from 1 species